rnacentral:lncRNA from 1 species
CAGAGAAAUCCGCACAACCGUUUUCAUGUAAAAAUUACUUUGCCCAGUUAAAUUUGGCAAUAGCAUAUGUGGCAUGUUUCCUUUCUGCUUAUCGCGGUCCAAUCAAGGCGUGACAUCUCAGUUCAACAGGUGCCAUUGUUACCGCGUGCAAUGAUCAGAUUCUUAUUCUCAAGGGAGCGUUUUGGGGACCUGCAACAAUUAAUCUGACAACGCAGCCUCUUUCUCCGAAUCCGAAAAAACAGACACCCUCUGAGCCCGUGGAGACUUCAUGCGUUUUUGAGACCCUCGUUCACACACGCAGGUGCGAGGGCCAAGCCCUGGAUUUUGGCUCCAGUCAGUCGGCGUGAUCCCUCUCUGCAGGUAUACGCCAUAUCGAUCUCUGUGCUCAAGUCUGUAAAUCCUAUGCCGGAAUCACAUAGUUUGUUUCGUAAAUAUCGUGACCGUAGUUCCCCCAAAAUCAAUGUCUUCUGGAGUCAAAUCGGACGUCUAACUCAUCUCCGUCUCACACCACUCAUCGUCCUCGCCAUCACCACCACCACCACCGCCACAUCUUUAAGCAACAACAACAACAACAACAACAACAUCAACAUCAUCAUGCAACUUAUCACCAUUCUUUCCAUCGUUCAAUCUCAUUUUCACGUGUGGUUAGGAAACACCAACCCUACCUCCUUAAUGAUUGAUAUGAUGGGGCCGCCAGGAUGGGAAGCAUACACAGUUGGCAGGCUUGGCGAGGCGGUUGGGAUGUGGUUGUCUUCCCGGAUACAACAGCAGCAACAGUCUACAGGGUGACCCAAAAGUCUUAGGACACCCCUUUAACUUUUGAACGAAUUGAGAAAGAGACCUGAAAUUUUGACAGUGAACUAAGGAAACUGUGACAAUAAACUAGGAAAACCUACUUUACUUUGACACAGGAGCACUGUCAAAAUUUCAAGUCUCUUUCUCAAUUCGUUCAAAAGUUAAAGGGGUGUCCUAAGACUUUUGGGUCACCCGGUAUAACCAGGGAGGAUGGGGAGGCGGAGUAUAAGCUCACCAAGGACGCUUCCAAUUUCAUCGUCCAAUAUUGUUCUACAGCGGGGGAGAGUUGUCUAUCCCUGGUAUUGAUGGAUUAAAUCGGAAAAUUAACACUCGUUAAUUUUCGGAUUUAUCCGAAUCGUGAGGUAGACUACUCUCCCCCCCCCCUCUCCCUUUAUCUCCCUCUCUUUAACUCUCUUGUUUUGUUUUGUUUUUAUUAUUGUGUUAUAUGUGUAAAACAAAACAAACAAAAAAUAUCAAACAAUAUAAGCGAGUGAGUGAGGAAAUACCCGAGUUUUUUUCUUUUAUCCUUUUUCCCCACUUUGUGGGCGGGUGGGAUACUAAACUGUUGAGUAUUAUUUUCCAUCUGUUUUUACAUGAAAUUUAACUCGAGGAUCUAUUUUUACUACCCUCUCAUAAUCAAUUUCUAGUGUUUCUAACUAGUGUUCUAAACUAGUGUUUCACUUAAAUUAAAUUAAUCAUAGUAUAUAGUAUCUGUAUAUUCUGUAAAUAGUUAGGGUCGGCCCUCCCACCCAUUCUUUAAACAUUGUAAUUAUCUUAAGCUAACAUAAUUAGGAUUAAUACGCAUGUAGUCACCUAUUGAUUUAAUAAAGAAAAAAAAAAAAAAAAAACUACCCUGCUGUCCCGUCAAUGCCUCACCGUUCUAAAAAUGCUAUUCACUGAAAAUUGCUAAAGAUUGUCUCAUUUUUU